CAGCCACCUCUCUUCAAGCCAGGGGCGUGAGUCUGCGGGGGAACUCCAGCCGGAGGGGCCAGUCAUCCCCUCUAACGACUGGGAUUUCAAUGUCACAGGCCAGCAGGAGGGCUUAUCUGGAGCAGACAAGCGGGAGUGUUGGAAAAAUAUCAGGAUGCAGGGUGGCAGGGGCACAGGGGUGUUUGUUUUCUCCUCCUGAGAACAGCCUCUCAGCCAGACCCAAACAGCAAUUCCGCAUUUUUUCUGUCAGCCUGGGGCUGGGUGCCUGGGAAGAACUGACGCUGCCUGCCUGGCUGGCUGGCUCCCCUCUCCCCUGGCUGGGGUGCGGGGUCCCUGGAGGGACGUCCCUCAGGGAGGGCAGCCCCAGGCCACAGGACAGAGGCCUCACCACAGCUGAGCGUUGAUCCCCCUGUUUUGUUCUCUGAGAGGCCCCUGCAGGCAGAGGUCUGAACACCUGCCCCCAGAAGAGAGAAGGAGGCCUCAGUGAAGAAAGAAAACCCCUGGAAAUCUUGUCUGUGAAUCUCAGCCUUUGUUGCAGAAAUUCGACCCCAGCAUCACUCGUCAGGGGCCAGGCCCGCUCUCAGCCUUUCAACCUCAGCGUGCUUCACCCAGACACAGGAGCCCGAGAUUAUACCCAUUCUACAGAUGAAUGGGGAGACUUCAUCAGGGAGAAGAGAAAUCACCUGCUCCCACACCCUGGGUCAGGAGUCUGUUUCCUGGGAAGUACGCCCAGGCUGGGAAUUUCGACGCCUGUGGGAGGCCCCACUGUUGGGGAUCACUGUCCUGAUUCUUCAGCCUCCUUCCCUGCAUCCUUGCCCUUUGUCACGUGACUUGGUAGUUUUCUCCUCUAGGUGUGGAGUCUCUGUCUCCCUGAGGUUGGAUUCGGUUAUGUGAUUCUCUUUGGCUGGUGGGAUGUGGGCAGAGGCCUGACGGUGCCUACGCAGCUGGUCCUGACCUCUUGUGCUCCUGCCUUCUCUAUGAGAAGAAUCUGCCUCUGGUGGUCAUCAGUCCUGGAAAGAUGAGAGACCCGAGAGCAGACCUGGACUCAAGCCUUAGCUUGAAGCCCAGCAAAGUCAGGCCCAGCCUAGAUGUGAUGAACUACAGUAGACGUGAGAAUGAGAAGUAAACACUUAUUGUUUGCAA